rnacentral:lncRNA from 1 species
AAUUAUAUCCCUCGUUAACCCCAUUUGAGCCUAUAUCCAUUUGUUUGUUUAAACCCCAUAAAUGUACCCCUUGGUCAAACACACUUCCUUACCCUGUUUAGAGUCAUGAUAAUACAUUCAAAUUGUGUUGAAAAGCGAAGUUUGGGGUAAAAACCCCAAAAGCUCCCAAAGCCCAAGAAAGUGUGAGACAAAAACUUGAAAAAAUGAUGAAUCGAGAGAAAGAAAGAAAAAAAUAAAA